GUUGAGCAAACCGGAUGCCUUUGAGCAAACAACAGAUGAGGGCAUGUUUAACUAUUGAAGUACUAUCCAAACCCAUAUGUCUCGCUGAUAUAGCUGAUCUGUACAGGUUUAUAGUACGAAAGGCUUUUCCUUCUUCAAAGAGCAGAGUCAGAAAUUGCAAGAUUGAUUUCACAGGAGCUGAUAUGGAAUCCACCGAUUGUCCCAUGCACCAAUCAGUCCAUUUUCUACAAGCCGACCCGCAGGAACGUCUGGUACCAGGUGCCCAAGACUCUGCCAACAGAC